UACAGAGGGUGCGAGCGUUAAUCGGAGUUACUGGGUGUAAAGGGCGCGUAGGCGGUUUUGUGUGUGUGAUGUGAAAGCCCCGGGCUUAACCUGGGAAGGGCAUCGCAAACUAUGAGACUGGAGUAUAUGGGAGGGUGGCGGAAUUUCCGGUGUAGCGGUGAAAUGCGUAGAUAUCGUAAGGAAGACCAGUGGCGAAGGCGGGUCUCUGGACAGUUCCUGACGCUGAGGCACGAAGGUCAGGGGAGCAAACGGG
rnacentral:rRNA from 1 species